GUCGUGGUAGCCCAGAUGGUAGAGGCACGGCCAGUUCAGAUGGUGAAAGUCACAGGUUCAAAUCCUGACUGCGGUG